UGUACUCUUGAAGAAAGGUGUGUAUAAAUUACAGUUUGGUAAAUUGGAUCCUGUGUGUUCACUGAUUUCCAUGAUUACUCCUGAGUUUGUGGUGUUUUUUCCCCCUAUGGAUCUUUAACUGGCCUUGGAUGUUUUAGACUUAAAUUGCCCCUCUGCCUAGCCAAAUAGCUAAUCAUCUGUAAAUAACACCCUUAAAUGCAGUAGGGGAGAUGGUUUUUAAAGGAACCCUGCUGAAUUCCUCUGUAAUGAAAAUAAUUCCUACUUGAGGUUAUCUGUUUUUUAAGAUGCACUUUUGCAUAAUGGGUUUUCCACCUACUUAAGUGAAUCAUCCUAAUGUGACCCAGGCCGUGAAAGCAUUUAGAGAGAGAUUUCCACUCAUGGCUCUGUGUCAUUAGAACCUAAUCCUACAGAUUCUCCCCAUUCUUCCUAACUGAUCCCAGUUUUUCCUCCUCAUCCUGACCUUUAUCCUGGUGUGAAAACCCAAUUCAAGUUGUAUCAUGAAACAUCACACAUUCUCUCACAUGUUCUGAUGAACCACUAGCAUCCAGACUGUAAAGUGAGCCCACUUUCUGGCAGACAAAUGAAGUCAAGGCAAAAACUCCUGAGAAUUAGGGAAGAUCACCUUGUACCAAGUGGAAGACAUUUAAUAUUAAUAUUUUUGUCUUAAAACAUUAACUUUUCAUCAAGUAAAUUAAAGGAAUUCAAUGAGCUGAUUUGUUAGUUCUGAACUAAUUUUAAUUAAUUUAAUUGCCUUGUGGUUGCUUUGCAUAGCCCACAACCAACCCCUCAACGGCGAGGUUUGUUGAAAGCGGGGGCAGGGCUGGUGGGCUUGCUCACUGCCCACGCAGCCCUGGGGCCGGUGGUCUGGAGGCUCCUGCUUCGGGGAGAGUCACCAGCUUUAUGAUCAGCGCUGUUUGCAUAUAGCGCCUGCAUACUAUCCGAAAUGACUCUGGGCAAAAAUAGGAAAGGAGAGAAACUGUCACCUCUCUUCCAAAUUAGAACAUUACCUCCCCUUUUUAUUAUUUGAAAUAUCAAGAAGUAGAUCCAAGGUUUCAUAAAUGGCAAAGUCACUUUCUCAUUUGGAUUAGCAAAGCCAGCUGUCACGGGCCCUUAUUUCUAUAAGAAGUAGUAGGUCGAUGUUACCCACUUUGUUUUUUUUCUUUACAAUUUCAUGAAUAGAUUUUAAAUCUAUUUAAAUAGAUUUAAGCACACGACAAAUGUGGUGUGUGCUCACUGUAAUUGGAGAAGCAUGCUAAUAAACACACACACUCACAUAUAUGUGGAAUGAUGUGGGAAUAAUAUCCCCAUUUUAUUCCAAAACAUACAACGUGAAAGCAACCCCCUGUUGGUUGCCUGGAAAAUGUCUUAACACGUUUUCUCCAUAAUAGGAUGCAAAGAAGGACAAACACACAUGGAAUGGAGGUGUUAGUUGUUUGCUUUUCUACGGAGGGGACUGUACACAUACAUAUUAUGGGCACAUUACACGUAUUAAUCGUAUUUUGUGACUACCUCCCAUUCAGCUGUUCACAUGAGUAUUAU